GACGAACGCUGGCGGCGUGCUUAACACAUGCAAGUCGAACGGAAAGGCCCUGCUUUUGUGGGGUGCUCGAGUGGCGAACGGGUGAGUAACACGUGAGUAACCUGCCCUUGACUUUGGGAUAACUUCAGGAAACUGGGGCUAAUACCGGAUAGGAGCUCCUGCUGCAUGGUGGGGGUUGGAAAGUUUCAGCGGUUGGGGAUGGACUCGCGGCUUAUCAGCUUGUUGGUGGGGUAGUGGCUUACCAAGGCUUUGACGGGUAGCCGGCCUGAGAGGGUGACCGGCGACAUUGGGACUGAGAUACGGCCCAGACUCCUACGGGAGGCAGCAGUGGGGAAUAUUGCACAAUGGGCGGAAGCCUGAGGCAGCAACGCCGCGUUCGGGAUGACGGCCUUCGGGUUGUAAACCGCUUUCGCCUGUGACGAAGCGGGAGUGACGGUAAUGGGUAAAGAAGCACCGGCUAACUACGUG
rnacentral:rRNA from 1 species